rnacentral:rRNA from 1 species
CUGCAACUCGACUCCAUGAAGCUGGAUUCGCUAGUAAUCGCGCAUCAGCCAUGGCGCGGUGAAUACGUUCCCGGGCCUUGUACACACCGCCCGUCACACCAUGGGAGUCGGUAACACCCGAAGUCUGUAGCCUGACGCAAGAGGGCGCAGCCGAAGGUGGGAUUGAUGACUGGGGUGAAGUCGUAACAAGGUAGC